rnacentral:lncRNA from 1 species
ACUUGAAACUCUAUACUUAACUUGAAACUUGAGCCUUAAGACGAAGCUAAAACGUUCAAUAACGACUCUUGGAAAGCUCUAAAUACUUGCUUGGACUUACUUCUUAACUUUGCUUGACUUGACUCUAACUUCACUUGACUUUGAUCCUAACUCACCUUGAAUUGGAUUAUGGAUUCAAGGGUAAUGAUCUCAUGUUUACGACACUUCUCUUUUUCUUACUCACUU